rnacentral:rRNA from 1 species
UACAGAGGGGGCAAGCGUUGUUCGGAAUUACUGGGCGUAAAGGGCGCGUAGGCGGCCUGUUAAGUCGAACGUGAAAUCUCCGGGCUUAACCCGGAAACUGCCAUUGAUACUAUUUGUCUUGAAUACUGUGGAGGUCAGCGGAAUAUGUCAUGUAGCGGUGAAAUGCUUAGAUAUGACAUAGAACACCAAUUGCGAAGGCAGCUGGCUACACAAAUAUUGACACUGAGGCACGAAAGCGUGGGGAUCAAACAGG